UCCUCUGGAAAAAGAAGGUGAAACGAACGGGAUUAAAUCAGACAAAGGGCAAACUUCUGUAAGUGUAUCAUCAAGAUUUUACUCCACAGACUGGGAACAGAGCGAGGGAGAGGCGAGAGAGAGGGAGAGGGGCAGCGAAUGGGAAGGCAAGGCGCAGGCUGGGAAACAGCGAGACACGAGAAGAGAAGAGGGAGAAGAGGGAGAAGUGGGAGAAGUAGGAGACAUGGACACCGCGGCAGAGACACCGCUGUAUUGCGACACACACCGCGCCCUGGACCUCCGCUCCUGUCACAGAGGUAAGUCAAUUCAGUCCUUGAUAAAUCGCAUCAUUGACUACACUCGAGUCUCAAAAUCGCUUCGUCGACGUCUCGCGAUUAAGACUAGGAACAUGCACCGAGUCUGACUGGAAACCUGAAGCCUCGUAUGCAGGUGAAAGCAACGACUUCAGAGUGUUUCCGUGCGCAAUUAUUGAUCAGGGUUUGCUCCCCCCCACCCUCAUGCCCCUAACUUUAUUUACUGAUAUUAAUCAAUUUAUAUCGGAUUUGAUUCAACAUCUGUACGCAAAAUCACCUUUAAUAACUCACCUGUGAGCACAUAAUGAACAGAUCAAUAGUUGGGUUUGCUUUGCGCCAAUGUCAAUGGAUUAACCGACAGAUCGAGAGAUCUAGCAGAAAGAAAAGUUGAGCAAAAAACAAGUUGCAUGGAAGUGGUUAUUAAAACAUUGGUGUCUUUUUUUUGAGCAUACAUGUCUUUUAAAACUCAUACUAUCUUUUGGUAAAAAGCAUCUUAACAGAAAAUUGAUGUAUUAUUAUUUAAAUAUUACAUUGCGUUAUUAAUAGAUUAUAAUAAUUAAGUAUUUAGAAAUAAAUACCAAAUCUGUGUAAGUGAUUAAAUAAGGUGGGGAAUACAUAUAAGCUUAUGUUAAUAAAAAUUUACAAAUCAAACACGUUUAAAUGCUGCACGAGCUCAUCAUUUACGACAUGGCUAUUGACUUAGAUUUGAUUCAUAUAGAUAUUAAAGCAGAUUAAAAAAAUGAUAAUGAACAAAAACAGCACCAGAGGCCACUAUGACGUGAUGCGUGCAAUGUUUUGUUAAAAUGCUGAUUAUAAAUCUGAGACUAAGAACUAGUUAGAUGCAAGUAAACACUCCAUCAUAAAAUAUGCAAUAUUCAAUUCAUUUGUUCUAUAUUUUAGAAAGAAAAAAAAUGUUCACAUGCACAUUCAUUCCGCAGCAUGUCGUCUAAAUUCAUCAGCUCUUAAAGGCAAUAAAACGCCACAUUUGAUCGUGACCUCUUACUAAGUGAGCAGGAAAGUAAAUAUACUUUGCUAAACGAGGAAAAAGCUCUUUAAGGACACUGAAGACACUUCAUGGACUUUGGAUAGCAGCAUGUAGUGAAGAAAAACUCAAAGAUCUAAAAACUACUUUUUUUUACUUAAUAAUUUACAUUUAUUUUGAAUUCCAAGAAAGAAAGCAUUUAAGAUCAUUUUAACUGUCACACUAACAAUAUUAUACAUAUCCCUAAAACAAAGAAACCAAGAAAAUUGUGCAUUAAAAUAAUAAAAAAGGAUAUGAUUUUAUGUCAUGCAUUCUUUUAAAUGAUUUAAUACCACAUUUGCAGAGAAGAUAGUGACUAGCAAGAAAAUCUUCCAACUUUUCAUAUAUAUGAUUGAUCACAGGUGAUAGAAAAAUAUAAAAUGUUAAAUUACACUACAUUAGUAAGAAAACACAAAUAUAACUGGCUCCAUUACAGAUCAUUGAUAUAUAUGUUAUUAAACGAAACCAAGUGAUGCACAAUGUGUAAAUAUACAGAAAUAAAUAUAUUAUACUGAUAUAUAUAGAAAUCAAUUACAAUUCCUGUAUAAUAUACUUAUUGAUCAAAUGAUAUGUUUUAUGCAUUUGAUAUAUCUUAUAUUUAACAAUUCAUUAAUCACUCAAAUAAUUGACUCCAUUUAUAUGUAAUGCACUUUUUAAAAAUAUAUUUCAAUCACAAAGUAGUGUUGAAAAUAUACUACUAUUAAUAAACAACACCCCAAAAGUUUUCGUCCAUUUUGCUGUAAAUAAAUGUACGACGCUCGCGCCAAUUAUUCGGAUGCUUCUCUUUGCUGCUUUUUCCCUGAACAACCGUUUGGAGGGUUUUGUCGCUUUGAGUAGUUUGGAGCUGAAAGGGAAGAGGAGGGGGCUUUUGUCCAAUUUGAUCCCCUAACUAUUUGAGAAGCUCAGAUUGGUGUGAAAGGGACGAAAAGGUCACUCGAAAUCGCCUUUUAUCCGCUGCCGUUUUUCUCCAUGGAUCAGCAACUUUCAAUGGACAUCAUCUAAUCGCUCUUAAUGGAACGCAUAGUCGUGAGAGCCGCAAAAUAUCCAACACUAUCUUCUAGCACACCACACUUAAGGGUGCAGCAGGCUAUAGGGCAAAUCCACUCCUGGUUUAUGAUUAGCAUUAUUAAUAUUAUGAUGAAAGGCAAUAAAUAAAUAGUGGACCACGGUGAAGUUAAACGCGCAGAAACACAGCGCCGUAAGCAAAAUAGAAUCAAUUUGUGAAAUUAUUCAGUGAUAUUAUCUUUAUGGGAAAUGCACGGCCUGGGCAUGUUAUAGGACCUCGUGCAUUAGAGGGAAGGCAGAAAACAGUUUUCAUAAAUAAUGCAAGUGUGUGUGUAGGACUAUUAAACUAUCUAACUAUAUAACUAACUAACUAACAAAAUUAAUAAAUAAAUACCGUCGGGGUUUUUAUCAUGAAAAAAAAUCCUGAAUAAUAAUAAUAAAAUAUAAUAAUACCAUUUUUGUCAUUCCCAACUCUAACACAAGGCUUGUUAGAAUAAACUAUAAUAUACUGUAACCUGGGUUUAAAUCUAUAUACCACAAAUAUUUCUUGCUUUCAUAUCAAAAUCAUGUUUUGCACCCCAAUUGAUGCUGUACAACUAAUACUAAAUAGUUUCAUUGUUUUUUAAACCGUGGUUUAUUUUUUUUACUAAGUUGCUGACUAUAGCAUUAUUUUUUACUUUUCUUUAAUUUUUUAAUUUCUGAAUAAGAAUCUCAUCCUGGGCAAAGUGCGUAGUCUGAAUCCCACCAUUGUAAACCUGGUUCAAGUUCUCAGACAUCCAUGAACACAAACUGAAAAAAAAUUGGAAGUUGAUUUAUUUAUUUAUUAAUAAAAGUAAGUUUGUGGCUGGAGCGCCUGCAGUUUCAGAUCGCGUGUGAGUGUUGUGCUGGAGGUAAUGGCUUUAUUGCGCACAAACCAUCAUCUAUUUAGGGGACAUGUGCUAAUUGCGUUGGACGCACUCACAAGACCAUAGAGAUCAUAUAGAGUUAAAAACAAGCCUGGACCUACAACAAAUUAGUCUAGGGUACACCUCUGUGGUUCACUAAAAACAACAACAACAAACAAACAAAAAAGAAACAAAACAAUGGGCAUGUGCACCAUCCUGUGCAGUUGCAGUGCGACCAUGAUACUCAUUUGUAUUUGUAGAUAAACCUUUGGAUAGGAUGCGUAAAGGGAGAGCAAACAGCAAAUGGCAUUAAAAUCGAUUGCACUAUUUUGCACACAUUUAUUAUUUUCUAGAUUAAUCAGCAGUAAUCUACACAUCACCCCUGACUGGAUAAAGCGACGAUUUGAAGCCAGGAAACCAGCAGUCUAAACCCUGUUCCUGCUUUGCUAUUUCUUGGGAAAUCGUGCAAAAGUGCUGGAAAUCAGAACCAUGAGCUUAUUUGAAGUACACUUGCGGUGGUUUAAGCGCAAAAUCCGCUGCAGAAUCGCGAGCGCACAUUUCUAGUGUAUUGAUCACUUAAAGCGGAUGGGGAAAAAGCUGGAAGAGAGGAUUUAGCUGGAGAAACGCGCUCUCUCUGGUGAAACGGUGCACAUCUCCAUAAUGGUGGACUUAAACCAACACUCAGCAGGCACUUAAUUGGAAUUUGGUCUGCCUGAGCCAGGCUUCAUUUCUACAAACAACAAACAACAACAACAACAAAAAAUAUCAGCUGAGCAGUUUCAAGACUAAAAGCAAUGAAAUAGUAAGUGAGAAAGUAAAAAAAGAGGUUUGUCCCACUGCCUACGCAGCAUAGAUUGUAAUUACAACACACACACACACACACACACACACACACACACACACACACACACACACACACACACAGCAAUUAGGCAAAUAAAAUGUAUAAGUUAAUGUGUCAGCAAAUAUUCUUUGCCAUCUUUUAUAACAUACACAAAACACUGCAAUGAAUAUUCUCAUGAUUAAUAUUAGUAUUUAUUUAGAGCAAUUACAUCUAAUAUAAAACAUUUGUCAUUUUAACUCUUCUAAUAUUUACCUAGAGAAAGAUAAACGUAAUCACUGCUUUCUUUUGCUGCACUUUCCUUUUAUUUUUAAAUCUAAAAGCACUAUUUUAUGGAUGCUACUUGUAAUAAAUGAAUGCUGUACAGUAAAUCGUGCAUGCUCCCUUCCUCGUGCUUGUCUGGCAUUUUUACCUGCUGGAACUGAUUGAAUAUGAUUGCUUUCAAAAAAACUUUAGUGUACAGUAUAUGUGCUGAACACAGCGUACACGCAAGGAGUAGCACACAAUUAUUUAUGUGUUAAUAAGUUGUUCUGAUUUCCUGACAGGUUUGGCUAACAGUGAAACUUGAGCAGCUGCAGGUAUUUGCAACUCGCCCAUACCAGCGUGAACAAAAGCUAUGCCUCUUCAUCUAUCAGAGCACGGUUAAAGGUAAGUGGCACCCCCUAUUAGGAUGACAAGAAAAUUAAUGGUACAGUCUGUCCCCUGGUUCUGUAUUACUUAUUUAUAGGUUAACACCUUUUCAUUGCUUUAGGCAUGGCUGUUACAAUUUUAGGAGAGCACAGGUGAACACCAUGUACACCUAAGAAACAUGAAAACCGAUAUACAGUGUAUUGUUAAUCUCUAUUGUUAAUCUCAAUGCUUCUGUGACUGAGACUUUAGUGUAUAUAUUGUACAGUACAUUUCUGAAGGAAACACCAUGUAUUUGAAUUAAAUAAAUUGACCACAAGCGUGUGCAUCUUGUCAUUUUCUUUUUUCCCCCCUCAUUUCUGGAGUCUGCCUUUGUCUGAUAUCACAUGGUUUAUCGAGGGCAUUAUUGUGUACAGCUCUCAAAGGACCAAGAUGCUUCCCUUUGCGGAUCACGUGGCCCGAUCAUGUGUGUAGUUAUGAAUUUCUUAUUGGCUGGCAACAAUUUGGCAUGUAUUAGUGGAUUUUUUAUGGGCUGGGGUGGGGUGUCUAUGGGCAUAACCUUUGUAUAGGAGCACAGCUAAGCUUUUAACCAUUCGUCCUGAUGAGAGGACCACAGCCUUAAUUUUGUGGGUGAUGACACCUGCCCUUUUCAGCAGGCUGCAGGAGAAGCCAUGGGAAUGCUGCGUGCAACAGAGGGUCUGAGUAUUGGAACAAUGUGCGUGAAUGUGCUGCCACAUGAACAAUGCAACACCACAUGGUGAGGUGAUGGUGGGUAGAAAAGAGAUCGCUGUUUUCAAUGCCCACCCCCACUGUGAUUCCCCUCUCUCUUUCUCUUUCUCCUCCUGUAUUCCCCUCCUCUUUAGUGGACCCUCCUAUAAAUCUUUUCUGUCAUACCUGUUUUUUGUACAGUGUGAAUAAGUAAACAGCAAAUCCCAAUGUCCUGCCUUUAUGAGGACACAGCCCAGUAGACACAAGACUUGCUAGAUGCAGGAUUAUGUCCUGCAUCAUGCAGUAGCUGUAUUUAUAAUCUGUUUUCAUCCCUCUGUGUUCACACACAGGACUAUGGGGUUGCAGCUGUGUGGCAGCUGCCUUUACUGUGUGUCUAGCCUUGUGUGGAUCUUGACUAGCAGAAAGCCAGCGUUUGCCGCUUCCCACCUCCUUGCCGGAGACUCCCAGCCGUAAUAGACGGUAAUGGCCUAAGACAAAUCAACCCGUUUCUUGUAAAAAUAGCAGCAAAUAAUCCCUGACUUCAGGUCUCCAAAAGAAGUGGAGAGGCGCUACAUUCUGAAGGCCUCAAAAACACACAUGAACCUCAUGAGAAGGCUUGAGCAAUGUCUCAACAAAACUGUCUGGAAUAAGUCUGGAAUACUUACAGUUUUCGACUCAAGAUGGAUUGGUAAUGAUCAUCUGUCUGACUUCUCAGGUUAAUCCUGGUUUUCCAUCACAUGAUGACUCAGGCAUGCAGCAACUUAGUCUUUUACUGUGGUUUAAACUUUUACUAAACUAUCUUUACAGUAACUACUGGUAUUAGGUAUUUCACUCUCUGUAAACUUAAUGGAGCACUAAGUGUAUCAUAUGGCAAAAAUCCCUGUGAAUGGAAGUUUGCGUAUGAGUGGGCUGUCUGGAAGGAUGUGGUUGCUGUGUGGCAGACCUGGGCAGGAGAUCAGAGUGGUUAUAGUGCUCUGGCCAUGGCGCCCCAUGUGCAACCCUCAGGGACCUAGAAACACACACUCUCUCUCUCUCUCUCUCUCUCUCUCUCU